UGGAACUCAGGUCAGAAAGCAGGAA
rnacentral:piRNA from 1 species